AUUGAAUGAAUUUGAUGAUGCACCAAAACCUGUGUUUAGUGGCAAAGCCAUAACUGGAACUUUCCGGCUUUUAUCUCGAGAGAGAUUUGUUGCUGAGGUUGGGUACCAUAAACAGAUGAUAGAAAUUUUUAAAACUAUACCAAGUAGAAAGUAUGAUGUGGAAACAAAAAAAUGGAAUUUUGCACUUAGUGACCAUGAUGCACUGUCAGAAGCCCUGAAGCCUCUGAGGCCAGCUGUGUGUGU